rnacentral:rRNA from 1 species
CAGCCGCCACGGUAAUACGAAGGGUGCAAGCGUUAAUCGGAAUUACUGGGCAUAAAGCGUGCGUAGGCGGUUUGUUAAGUCUGUUGUGAAAUCCCCGGGCUCAACCUGGGAAUGGCAAUGGAUACUGGCAAGCUAGAGUGUGUCAGAGGAUGGUGGAAUUCCCGGUGUAGCGGUGAAAUGCGUAGAGAUCGGGAGGAACAUCAGUGGCGAAGGCGGCCAUCUGGGACAACACUGACGCUGAGGCACGAAAGCGUGGGGAGCAAACAGGAUUAGAUACCCGCGUAGUCCCUGUCUCUUAUAC